rnacentral:rRNA from 1 species
AUACGUAGGUGACAAGCGUUAUCCGGAUUUACUGGGCGUAAAGGGCGUGUAGGCGGUCUUGCAAGUCAGAAGUGAAAUUCCUGAGCUCAACUCGGGCGCUGCUUCUGAAACUGCAGGACUUGAGUGCUGGAGGGGAUAGCGGAAUUCCUAGUGGAGCGGUAAAAUGCGCAGAUAUUAGGAAGAACACCGGUGGCGAAGGCGGCUAUCUGGACAGUAACUGACGCUGAGGCGCGAAAGCGUGGGGAGCAAACAGGAUUAGAUACCCUGGUAGUCCACGUCGUAAACGAUGAAUACUAGGUGUAGGGGGUAUCGACUCCCUCUGUGCCGCAGUUAACACAAUAAGUAUUCCGCCUGGGGAGUACGGCCGCAAGGUUGAAACUCAAAUGAAUUGGCGGGG